rnacentral:misc_RNA from 1 species
GUUAAUCUCUCAUCUGGCACAGACAAGAGCACUGCUCUCCACUGUGCUACUUCUGGUGGAUCUGUGAAUGUGGUUGAUAUUGUCGAUUUGCUUUUAUCUGCUGGUGCUGACCCAAACUCCAAGGAUGUCAAUGGUGACCGCCCUGUGGAUGUCAUUUUUGUUCAUCCAAAGUUGCAGAAGCAGAAUACAAGGUUCAGGCUUGAGGAACUUCUUAACAAUCAUUCAAAUGGAUCCAUGGAUGUGUCCUCUUUACAUUUGUCAAUCAAAAC